CGCCAUCCCCGCCCAGGCCCCCCCCCCCCUCCACUCCCACUCCCACUCCCCCUCGCUGCCCGCAGGGCUCAGUGCUUGGAUGUGUUGUGGCAGGCUGAUUUCAAACUUCAGAAAUUCUCAUGGAACAUGACACAAACUGUAGUCCACGAUAAGAAGUUCGGAACUUGACUUGAAGAAAGUGAAUAUAAAAAGAGGACAAAUCUGUGAAGAAAAGCAGAGAAAAUGGCUUUUGAGCAGUGGCUUUUGAUGUCACGUGGUAGAGACAUGAGCUCAACUGUCAACUUCUUCUGUGAUGUAAUUGAUUUAAAAGAAAACAAAACUGUGCUCAUCAUUCCAGGUGAAGAUGAGGGAACUUCACAUCUUGUGUUCUUGCUUGUAUAGUUCACCAGACAAUUUACAUUUUCCUAAAAAAACUACAGUGAUAUCAUAAUAUCAGAUAUUUUGCACUGAAUUUUGAACUCCACACGUGUCCAGGUGCAUUGAAACUUUGAAUGACUCACCGAGCCAAAAGUGAAUGUGAGUUUGCCAAGCAGACAAAUGUAACUUCAAUGAUGAUUCUGACUAGUUCUGUCUAGUACUCUACCGUCAUUAAAUUGACUCCAUCAAAGAACAAAUUUGAUUUCCUUCUUUUUACUUUUCCUUACAUUUGGAAGUAAAAUACAUAUGAGUUAUGGAUGUGAGAUAAGCUGUAGAAAAUCAUAGUAUAGUGUGGUGAGUGGGAAGCAUCCAACAGAGCUCCACUGAUCUGCUGGUUCUUGGGGAAAGAGAAAUACUGAUUUUAAACUCAGUGAUGCUAAACAGGAUUUGUUGAAGAGAGUAGCCAGUCUUAUGUUUGUUAUGCCUCCAUCUAAGAGCAUAGUGUGGACUGUUGCUGCUCCAAGUUAUGUGCAACAGGAUCCCAGUUCUGGACUAGAGGCAGGAAAAUCUUUCUCCUGCACUUGCUUGCUGCAUGCAGUUGGCUGUGCGCUGUCCUCUUUUGUUUUCUGUCUGCAGUGUUGUAUGUGAAAGUUAAUGGAGGAAGUUCUGGUGAAGACUAAAGCAUCAGGUUAAAUUAGGUGUGCAUGAUCUGAACUCUCCUGAAUCAAGAUAACUCUUACAUGUGCUGAAAAUCAGAAGGUUUCUGGAUCCUGUCAGAAAAAGAUGAGUAGAUUUUUGGAAGGAAUGUGGUUCUCUGGCUACAUCAUGUUCAUUCAAAUUCAUCUGGAGUUUGUAAAACUUCUGUGACCAUGGGUGGAGUUUUAUGAACUCAUAAAACUUCAAACCUGAGGCUCAGCUUCAGAGUGCUUGAUGUGCUUCAGACGUUUUUCCUUAAUUGUUUUGGAAGAACACAUCAACAUUUCUGUUCCUUACCAACCAAAUUUCCUAGAACCUUUGAACAAAAUAUUCUCCAUGUAUUGAAGAUCUGCUAAUAUUACCUUUUUUUGUCCUGCAGAAAAUACAGUUUAGGACACAAAAGAUGACAUUGGUAUGAACAGAUUGGAAGGUAGCCUGCCAUCUUUAUACCUGUUCUCAUCCUGCAGGAUCACUGGCACAUUUAUGCAUUGGCAUACACUUUGAACUAUUUAUAGGGGCAGAAUUGAACCUCUCUGCUCACCUCUUACAAACACAGGUAGCUAGAGAAGGCAAAAUGCUGAAGACUCUGAUCCUACUUUUAGCUCCUUAACUCCUUUGUCAGGUCAUCUCCAUUGGCAUGAGGUUUACUAUGCAGUAGCUCUCCUGUGCAGAUAAGCCCUAAAUUGUCUACCAUUGGAAUGUGUCCAAAGUUAAUUUUCACUUCUGUCCAUUAAAGUGGCAGGAAUGAUACUGUGUGAGGUCACUUGGCUCGGGUGUGGCUUACUUAUUUCUUCAAAGGAAAGCCCAGGUAUACUAUACCUUUUCCUUGCUGUUGCUUGCAGCAUACAACACAAGUCGUCUUGUUCUAUCUGACUGCUGCAAAAUUCUCAGCACUACAAGAUCCAAACCAUCAAUACAAGAGCCACGUACAGUUUGUAAUCUCUGUGCAAUAUCACCUUUAAUAAUUCCAACAAUUAACUUCAAACGAAUCUCUGGCAAGAGUUCUUACCAUAGAUUACCAUGAACAUUUUUAGUUUUACAUUCAUUUGGAAUCAUAGGACUCCUACCAACGGGAAAAAAAGGAGGUUGAACUAACUUUUACUUUAUUGCAGUUUAAAAUUUGUCUCAGCAGAGAAUCAAACCUAGAUAAGUUCAUAUGUAUAGGCAAUUAUUUAUAACCUCCAUUUUAGGCACCAAGCCUAGAUAUUCUGAAUCACCUUCCCUGGAGAUUGCUUACCUCUUUCCUCUGAUACAGAAAAGUUAGAUUUCCACUAUGUGUGAGUUAGGUGUCUACCCUCUUUUGGAUAGUUGGUUCCAUGAAGGCAACACAAUAAUAAAAAUUAGGCUUCCAGUGGAAAAAUUUUUAAGUUUUUAAUUAAAGAGAAAUGUUAUCGACCUUACUGAUGAUAUUUAAAACAAAUCAUAAAUGGGCUUGCAAAACUUUCUUGGUGUGUAACUGUGUUUUUGACAUUACAUAUUUACAAGAUAGAUGGCUAUUGCUUCUGUUUUACUGUUUUGUUUGAUAUAAUCAGUGAAAAGGGAUUUAUGAAUAUCUCUGGAUUUCAUAAUUUGGCUAUAAUUUACAUAUCAGUGUAAUGCUAAUUUUUUGCUCUCUGUUGAAUCUCGUUCACAGAAAGAGGAGUGACAAACAUUAGUAGUGUCAUUAUUGCCUGUUAACAUAGCUCAUUAAUGUGUUCUAGUAGUCAUUAACUUUGCAAGGAAAUAUUGAUUCCUAUGGAAACAAAAGCUGCAAGUUAAAAAUAAAUAAAUGAAGAAAUGUCUCUGGGAAUGAUCUGUGAAUUGCAUAUGCAUUUAGUUCUUGUCAUCAUUGUACUUUCCUGCUGUUCACAAGACUGCUUGCUUAGAGUAGAAAUUCUAAUGGAGUAACCAAAAUGCAUUGUAUUAAAUUCUCAUUUGAUAUUUGUUGCUUUUAUAAUUGUAAUGCCAUUACAUGAGGAAACGCUUUCCCUGUGAUCAGUAUCUUCUUACGGUAAGAUGGGGAAGUGACUUUUGUUUAUCCACAGCAUAACUAUAAGUCCUGGGUAUAAUUCUUCCAGUAUGUGAGGCCUGUUUCAUCAUUAUUACAUAUUUCUAAGAGUUCUAAAUAGCUCAGAGGCAUAAGCAGUCAUACCUGUUUUGGGGUGAAAACAAGGUUAAAUAUUUUUUUUCUGUAGCUACAUUGACUUAGUAUACAAAGGAAGUACAUAAAGGCUAUGAUUUCAUUUCAGUAUUCAAAUGAGCAUGACCAGAUUGUCAACAACAUGGUCAUUCUCAGAUUCUUCUUAGGGCUUUCAUCGAUUGUGAAUACAAAAGAAGUUUCUUCGGACUUGGAGGCUGGCUUUUAUUCCACUUCAACAGCACUGUGUAUCUGACUGUCUCUUCUGGUUCUAUCACUUUCAGCAGUGAUAUUGAAUCCCUAAAAUAGAUGUGAAAUGUUGUGAGUUUGUUGUGAGUUUGGUGUUUUUUUUUGGUUUUUUUUUUUUUUUUUCCCUGAGUUAUCUGAUCUCAUUUCCUUACUAUGUUGUUAUGCUUUGGGAAUAUUUCAGGCUGUAAAAUUUGCUUUUUAAUUUCUACAUUGCUUUUCUUUUCUGGUACUCCUGAAGUCAGUGGUCUUCAUGUGUGUUUGCAGAUUUUAAGUAGACUGCUACUGAGAAGUGCCUUUCUGAGUGUCUCAUGGCUUCAAAUAUAAUUUCUCCUCAUUGUCUUCAAGACAUGAUUUUAUGAAUUAUACAGUGUUAGAAAUUCCCCUGAAAACUCAAUUUUCAUUUGUAUGUUGAGUUAAAAAUUAUCUAAUGGUUUGUCCAAAAUAUGGUCUAAAAUGCAGCAGCAUUUUCUUGAGCUAAUAUGGCCUACCUGGAAUGCUCCAAAAAGUUUGACUUUGCUCACUCACACCAUCCUGCGUGUUUGUUAUGAUUUACGAAGCGAUCUCUUGUUCUGUCACAACGACUUGUUAUCUUCAGUAUUUACCACUCCCUUAAUCUUUGCAUCGGUUUGAUUCCUUCUCCGCAAUUGAUUUAUAAAAAAUAUUAAAUAGGUAGAGGCCAACAACUCCACCCUGUAGCAAUGUCCUUGGAAAUACAGCCACAGUGUGGUGAUUUCCAAUGCUAUCAACAAGACCUAUCCUUGACUGUCUUUAAUCCAUUUAAUGUAUGCAGUGAUGAUUUUGUGUUCUAGUUUAUUAAUCAGGAUGUUGUGCAGUGUGCAGUUAGUUGUGCCUUACAGAGAUCUAAGUGUAUUGCAUAACACUGUUAACUUUUAUAAAACAAAAAUGUACUCUCAUAAAAAUAUUGAAUUAGUUUGAGAUCUAUUAUAUAUAAGAGCAUUUAGAUUAGUACUUAAUUGUACUACUGUCUUUUAAUUGGGUUCCCUACCAGCUAUUCCACUAUUUUUGUUGGGAUCAAUGCAGGAUGGCAAAGUCUGUAAUUACUUCAGGUAUUGCCCCAUUUACCCUUUUCUAAGUCUUGGCAGGAUGUUACUUUCUUAGCUUGGUCCUCUGGAAAUUACCAUUAGGUAUUGUAAUGAGCCUUUGGUCUCAUUAAAAAUCCACAUCAACAGUUCAGACAUCUCCUAUACCAGUUCUUUUCUAGCUAUUAGUUGAGAGUUAUCUGGAUUUGCUGAGUCAAAAAUGUUUAUGAAUUAAAUUAAUUUAAAAUAGCUUCUAUUUUAACAUCCUGUUUUGCUACUAACAGAGUGAAUUCAUCAUAACCACUAUGUAUAUACAUAUUUUAUGUUUUACAAGCAAAACACAUAUAUUUACUGAAAAUACUGAAUAUUUACUGAAAAAUUCUGUCUCUGUUAUUAACACUUGCCCCUUGCUUAUCGGACAAUGUACCAAUGUAAUUGUUAUGAUACUGAUUAUUUUGAGUGUAAUAAAAAGAGUCUUCCUUGGGCAUUAA